rnacentral:rRNA from 1 species
GACGAACGCUGGCGGCGCGCCUAACACAUGCAAGUCGAACGAGCGAGCGAGAGCUUGCUUUCUCGAGCGAGUGGCGAACGGGUGAGUAACGCGUGAGGAACCUGCCUCAAAGAGGGGGACAACAGUUGGAAACGACUGCUAAUACCGCAUAAGCCCACGGCCCGGCAUCGAGCAGGGGGAAAAGGGGCAAUCCGCUUUGAGAUGGCGUCGCGUCCGAUUAGCUAGUUGGUGAGGUAACGGCCCACCAAGGCGACGAGCGGUAGCCGGGCGGAGAGGUUGACCGGCCACGAUGGGACUGAGACACGGCCCAGACUCCUACGGGAGGCAGCAGUGGGGAAUAUUGCACAAGGGGGGAAACCCUGAUGCAGCGACGCCGCGGGGAGGAAGAAGGUCUUCGGAUUGUAAACUCCUGUUGUUGGGGAAGAUAAUGACGGUACCCAACAAGGAAGUGACGGCUAACUACGUG